AGUGUAUUUUGUAGACUUAUGUUACGGCCAUAAGGUUUGGAGCUUAUAGCACCAUACACUU
rnacentral:tRNA from 1 species